UACGUAGGUGGCAAGCGUUAUUCGGAUUUAUUGGGCGUAAAGGGUCCGCAGGGGGUUUAGUAAGUUUGGUGUGAAAUCCCAGGGCUCAACCUUGGACGUGCAUUAAAAACUGCUGAACUAGAGUGCAGGAGAGGAGAGCGGAAUACCAGGUGUAGCGGUGGAAUGCGUAGAUAUCUGGUAGAACACCGACGGCGAAGGCAGCUCUCUGGACUGCUACUGACCCUCAUGGACGAAAGCCGGGGGAGCGAAC
rnacentral:rRNA from 1 species